rnacentral:misc_RNA from 1 species
GGAAGUAAAAGUCGUAACAAAGUUUCCGUAGGUGAACCUGCGGAAGGAUCAUUCAUAAUAAGUGUUUUAUGGCACUUUUUUAAAUCCAUAUCCACCUUGUGUGCAAUGUCAGGGUCGAUUUUUCUCUCGAGAGGAUCAACCCCAAACAUCAACUAUAUCUCAACUCUUUGUCUGAAAAAUAUUAUGAAUAAAACAAUUCAAAAUACAACUUUCAACAACGGAUCUCUUGGCUCUC